ACUCUUCAGUCCCCUUCUCCUUCCGACCCCGAGGGGAAAAAUCGGACAACUCGGGUUCCCUCCCUCGUCUCUCCUCUCGCGUCCCCUCGUCGCCCUCCUGCUGCCCGAUUCGAGGGCGCGCGCCAUCCCCACCGCUCGCAGCUCGCCUCGCCGGCCGCGCCAACCCUCGAGCUCGUGUCGGGAGCGCCCAGCUUCUCCACGGUGGCCGUUCCUCGGCGGCGCCCGCUGGUGGGCGAUGCGAUCGGAUGAGUUGGCGGCGGCGGCGGCAGCGCUUCGUGGAGCGGAGGAGGAGGAGGGGGGCCUUGUGCUGUCCCGCGGCGGCGCUACCCCCGCCGCGCCCGCCCCUCGGAGCCGGUGAUGGCCCCGACCGCGGAGCCACCUUCGCCGCCGCCGCCGCGGCGCCCCCGCACGGGCCCGCCCCCGGGGCUGAAAAACCUCGGCAACACCUGCUACCUCAACAGCGUCCUCCAGUGCCUCGCGUCCACGCCGCCCCUCGCCACGUUCUGCCUCGCCUCGCGCCACUCCAACCUGUGCAAGAAGGUAUUCCCGAACAGGGACAAGGAGUGUGCAUUCUGCGUGCUCGAGCGCCAAAUCGCGCGGCUUCUAAGGGCAGAUGCAGGGGCACUCGACUCGCCAGCGAAGAUCAUCCGCUGCAUGCCCCUGUUUGCCGAACACUUCAGAUGGGGGCGCCAGGAGGAUGCGCACGAGUUCCUCCGCUAUGUCGUAGACGCCUGUCACACUGCUGGUCUCAGCAUGCACAAGCGGCUACCUGCGGCAGUUGCCAAUGGAAACUGUGGUGAGGAGGAGGGCCGGGGGCAGGGUACAUGUAUGAUUAUGAGGGAGACAUUUGGUGGGGCGCUGCUCAGUCAGGUGAAGUGUCUUGUGUGCAAGGUAGAGUCAAACAAGACAGACGAGAUAAUGGAUAUCAGUCUCGAUCUACCUGGGAGCAGUUCUGUUGCUGAUGCCCUUGCCCGCUUCUUUCAGCCGGAGAUCUUGGAGGGUGCAAACAAAUAUAGUUGCGAAAGGUGUAAAAAGCUCACCUCAGCACGGAAGCAAAUGUUUAUACUCAGGGCACCUAAGGUGCUUGUCAUACAACUCAAGAGGUUUGAGGGGAUAAAUGGUGGAAAGAUCAACAGGAGUAUAGAAUUCAAGGAGGCCCUUGUUCUUUCUGACUUCAUGUAUAAUAAAAACCAGGAUUCACAACCAGCAUAUAAUCUUUUUGGUUGUAUCGUCCACUCAGGGCUCUCCCCUGAGUCUGGUCACUACUAUGCGUAUGUUAAGGAUGCUGUUGGUCGAUGGUUUUGUUGUAACGAUUCUCAUGUCUCCCUAUCAAGCUCUCAGAAUGUUUUGUCUGAGAAGGUCUAUAUCCUAUUUUAUAUACUGAAUUCGAAAAAUCAAAAGCCUAGUCCAAAUGGUUGCUCUUCUACUGCAGCUAAACCUUUCAGCACCAAUGGAAAUGGCAUAUCAAGCUCCUCACCUAAUGAGACCUUGAAGAUACCUUUGGUAAAACAAAAUGGUUCAUGUUCUACCAAAGGUAAUGCCCUGCUGCCCCUGAAGAAUGGCAAGAUUGCAUCAGGUCCACUUAUCAAGCCAAUUCACUUUAAGAAUAGUGGGACAGAGAAGGUUAAGUCAAAUGGCAAAGAAAACCUGCCUUCAAAAAUGAACCCAGAAGUUAAUGAGAGUGCUAUACAAUCAGAAUCAAAUGGGCGCAAGACUGGAAAAUUUGCGGAACCCAGUAAAAAGGAUGCCGAUGGUACUAUGUCUUGUGGAAAGAUUGAUGAUCAUUCAGAAAGAAUAUUGCAGGAUGCAAAUGGAAAUGGCCACUCGAUUCGUUCCCAAUAUCUUGGCGAGGCAAGUAAUGGUAAUGCCACAUGUGCUCAACAGUAUUCUGAGCAGUCAUCUGGUGCUGUUACCUCUAAAAGUCCAGUUUCACACCAUGAAGAGUCUGCUAAGGUAAAGGAUGUGGUGAAUUCAUCCAAAGAUAGCGUGCACCUGAAACGCCAACAUGAAGAAGACAAGUUUAAGGAAGUGCUUGUUAAGUCAGCUUCUUCUGAGCUUCGGCUGUCUGUUUGGGUGGAUGAUGUCUCCAAUUUUAUGCGCUCACUAAAGAGACGGCGAAUUCAAAACUCAGGCAUUCCUCAAGAUAUUGAUGCAAUGAGGAAGCUGCUAAAGUCAGAUUCUGAAAGAAUAUUUAGGUCAAAAGUUCCGGAGUCACUGGUGGAAAGUCUAAUUCAACGCCUGAGAUCAUACUUUGAGGGCAUAUAUUCGCCACAUGCUUAAUUUUUUCAUGUAGUUCUUCAGAAGCCACUUAGGUGCCAAUUGGAUCUUGGUGGUCAACUAUCCAGCUCCUUGCGCGGCUUAUUUUUGAGGACAUUUUUGUUUUUCUUGCUGAGUUUGAGACAAGGAGCGGCGAAGUUUCAUGUACAAUAUCCUUUUUGAUGCUAUUCCCCAUGCAAUAGGCACCGCCUGGAUCCCCCCCCCCUCAAACCAACCCACCCCUGGUAUAAGGUCCUUGAUUUUGGACUAAGUUCAUUUGUCGGGGGAACAUUUGAUAGAGACAUAAUGUAAAAUUUUGGUGUAAUCUCCGGAUGCAAAUUGGCCUGAGAAUAUACUCGAAUUUUGAUAAUUCUGAUGGUACGCUAGUGGAAAAUUGACUAGGGAAAUGGUUCGUGCGUCUCUGUUAUGAAGUUGUGUACUUUUGGUAUGUCGUCAUGCUCUUGAACCGCGCCAAGACGCAAAAAUGCCAGUCAUGUUGAGCACGAGGCCGAAGCUACGAUCUCCAAGGACGCAGUGUUUUGUGUUUCAAGUUGAUUCAAAGCUUAUUUUAGAACAUUUGUCGUUUUAUUUCUUUGUCAACGUUAUUUGCUCUGGAACCGCCCAGCGCUGAUGCGUUUGGAACAAUAGCGUAGCCAUCAGGCAUUUGUUCUUGCA